rnacentral:rRNA from 1 species
GAUGAACGCUGGCGGCGUGCCUAAUACAUGCAAGUCGAGCGAACGGACGAGAAGCUUGCUUCUCUGAUGUUAGCGGCGGACGGGUGAGUAACACGUGGGAUAACCUACCUAUAAGACUGGGAUAACUUCGGGAAACCGGAGCUAAUACCGGAUAAUAUUUUGAACCGCAUGGUUCAAAAGUGAAAGACGGUCUUGCUGUCACUUAUAGAUGGAUCCGCGCUGCAUUAGCUAGUUGGUAAGGUAACGGCUUACCAAGGCAACGAUGCAUAGCCGACCUGAGAGGGUGAUCGGCCACACUGGAACUGAGACACGGUCCAGACUCCUACGGGAGGCAGCAGUAGGGAAUCUUCCGCAAUGGGCGAAAGCCUGACGGAGCAACGCCGCGUGAGUGAUGAAGGUCUUCGGAUUGUAAAGCACUUUAAGUUGGGAGGAAGGGCAGUAAGUAAUACCUUGCUGUUUUGACGUUACCAACAGAAUAAGCACCGGCUAAC